AACGAACGCUGGCGGCAUGCCUAACACAUGCAAGUCGAACGAUUAUGGAACUAGCUUGCUAGAACCCAGAUAGUGGCAGACGGGUGAGUAACGCGUGGGAAUCUUCCUAGUAGUACGGAAUAGCCGUUGGAAACGACGAAUAAUACCGUAUAUUCCCUGAGGGGGAAAGAUUUAUCGCUAAUAGAUGAGCCCGCAUUAGAUUAGCUAGUUGGUAGGGUAAUGGCCUACCAAGGCAAUGAUCUAUAGCUGGUAUGAGAGGACGACCCGCCACACUGGAACGGAGAUACGGUCCAGACUCCUACGGGAGGCAGCAGUGGGGAAUAUUGGACAAUGGGCGAAAGCCUGAUCCAGCAAUGCCGCGUGAGUGAAGAAGGCCUUAGGGUUGUAAAGCUCUUUUAGUAGGGAAGAUAAUGACGGUACCUACAGAAAAAGCACCGGCUAACUCCGUGCCAGCAGCCGCAGUAA
rnacentral:rRNA from 1 species